CUUCCAGAAGUGAUGUGGGAUUUGAAGGUUGACUGGUUCCUGGUCUGGGCGAUAUUACCCUCCGGAGACACAGGGCAUCAAUCGUGCUUGUCUGGAGGAACAAAAGCCUGUGUCUGAAGCCAGAGAGAGCUGAGAGGAAGCCAAGUGUGGCAGGUGAGAGCAUCUCGACUAGACAGCUGUCAAAGCCACUCUGAAUGCAAGGGCAGUGCAGGAGAGCAGCAUCACCGGUGGAGGCCUCACCACCCUGACUGGAGAAGCCGGGACAAUGAGGCCCAGCAUGGUGAAACCUCACUGCCUUUGACUUCGGGCCAGCAGCACUGUAACCCCACAGCGCCAACCUGGCUACCUGCUAACCUGCAACUCCUUUAUUUUUAUUUUGCUGAUGCGC